rnacentral:rRNA from 1 species
AUUGAACGCUGGCGGCAGGCCUAACACAUGCAAGUCGAGCGGGGUUUUCGGACCUAGCGGCGGACGGGUGAGUAAUGCGUAGGAAGCUACCCGAUAGAGGGGGAUACCAGUUGGAAACGACUGUUAAUACCGCAUAAUGUCUACGGACCAAAGUGUGGGACCUUCGGGCCACAUGCUAUCGGAUGCGCCUACGUGAGAUUAGCUAGUUGGUGGGGUAAUGGCUCACCAAGGCGACGAUCCCUAGCUGGUUUGAGAGGAUGAUCAGCAACACUGGAACUGAGACACGGUCCAGACUCCUACGGGAGGCAGCAGUGGGGAAUAUUGGACAAUGGGCGCAAGCCUGAUCCAGCCAUGCCGCGUGUGUGAAGAAGGCCUUCGGGUUGUAAAGCACUUUCAGUAGGGAGGAAGGAUGUUGUGUUAAUAGCACAGCAUUUUGACGUUACCUACAGAAGAAGCACCGGCUAACUCUGUGCCAGCAGCCGCAGUAACAC